AACGAACGCUGGCGGCGUGGAUAAGACAUGCAAGUCGAACGGGACUAAAUCUGUAGCAAUACAGGUUUAGUUUAGUGGCGAACGGGUGCGUAACACGUGGGCAAUCUGCCGAGAAGUGGGGGAUAGCUCGCCGAAAGGCGAAUUAAUACCGCAUAUGAUCAGUGAAGACAUCUUCACGACAUCAAAGCCGGGGCAACCUGGCGCUUCUUGAUGAGCCCGCGGCCUAUCAGCUAGUUGGUGAGGUAACGGCUCACCAAGGCUAUGACGGGUAGCUGGUCUGAGAGGACGACCAGUCACACUGGAACUGAGACACGGUCCAGACACC
rnacentral:rRNA from 1 species